AAAGAAAAGAAGAAGAAGAAGAAGAAGAAGAAGAAGAAGUGAAGAAGAAGAAGAAGAAGAGGGUGUCCAGGAGCGUGAAGUAGAGUGCUAUACACAUCCGGUUAGUUGCAAUUUAAGAGUUUUCGGGCGAUCGUGAGGAGAGGGAAAGCACUGGAGUAGCGCUUCUCUUGCCCGAGUCAACGUAGCGAGUUGAGGUGGGUUCCAAGUCGUCGAAAAUGAUGGAUUUC